CCACCUCUCACGCCAUUCUCUCUUUCUUCUCCCUCGGUGACAACUUACAGCCACAAAAGUGGACGGUGGCCGUGACUGGCAAGCUCCUCCGGCAUAGCAAGCAGAGAGGCGGGGGUUCCCUCGGCGGGCAGCAGCUGACGGUGGUUGGAGUUGUGGCGGUAGUCCAGUGGUUCCCCUGUUCUUCGCGCGAACAGCAGUAUCGUGACCUUUCUUCGGCGAAUCUCUCCUUCUGGCGAGACAAGUAGACCGACGAACUCCUCCAGUGUUUGGUCCAUCUCCUGACGAUAAAUGGCAGUCUGGCGGUAGUUGAGCAGGCUUCUUCUUCCUCCGGCAGUGUUGACCUUCUGGCGUAGCUUGGACGGCCGAACGGAGCUUCCGGCAGCUUAGCAGUGACUUCGAAAGGGUUCUUUGUUAAAGUGGCCAGUUUAUGAGUUGAGCCUGGGUUGAGCGUUUGUUUUUGGAGCUUUAGCUUUGAGGAGAUGAAAUUAGUGGCUUGCUUUGAGAGCGCGGUGUAGAGUUCGUAUGCCUUGUAAUAGAAUUUGUAUCCUAGAAUUGCUUAUGGUAUAGUUGAAUGGAUUAAACCUAGACUGUUUUAUAGUUAGUUGUAAUCGGAUUAUUCAACCUUGUAUUUGGAUUAUAGAUAGAAACUUUGUAGCCUGUGCAUUUGGGUUUAGAAUAACCCAAGUGUGGCAUAACACCCUGUGUUGUUGGUUUAGCUUCCGCAUAUUUUGAGAAAUAUUUUCCUUUAAUUCUUUA